CACGUGUUGCUGUGGAGAGCCCCUUUCUUCCCUCCCAGUCUCCACCUUCCCAGGCACCGUUCCUGCUUUUCAGCAAAGCCCAGGGCCUCCGAUUCUGCCUCCUGCACAGGCCUGGUGCUUGCUUCAGUGUAGAAGCUGCCUCCUGGAACUCAGCUGGUCCAUGCUUCCUAACACCUGCCUUCUGCAUGGCCCACAGAGAGGAAGAACACACAUGUGAGUUUACUCCACAGACAGAGAGCAGCCUCACAGCACAUGGAAAGACCUGGCCGUCUACAGCGUCACUGAAAUCACUGAGAGCGAGUCAGGUCCACUGUGGGCCCUUAAGAGAGCUCCAGACUGCGGAUGGGUUUCAGACGCUUUUCUCAAAUUAUUUCCUCAUUGCUCGAAGGCUCAGGAUCUGUCCUCAUCCCAGGGGGCCUGAGACUCUUCCGUUCCCUACUCUCAGCUCUCUAAACAGCUUCCUGACCUGCGCUGGCCCAGGCCCCGUGGGGUCCCCAGCCUUCCUGGCUUCCGCCUGUCCCUCUCUGUGACCCCAAUUGGCAGAUUCAGCCUGACAAGGGGGCUUCGGGAGUUGCCUGGAGCUCUGCGAGGUGAGAGAGGAGCAGAUUGUAAUUAUAUUGUCAUCGUUGUUCCCAUUUUUCUUUUAAACUCUGG
rnacentral:lncRNA from 1 species